rnacentral:siRNA from 1 species
UAUGGUUUCUUUCGUAUCUGC